AUUCAAAAAUCUGAGAAGCUUAUAUAUAUUAAAAGAAUUGAAUUUAUAAUUCAAAACAUUUCCACAAAGAAAAACUGCAGGCCCAGAUGGUUGCACUUGCAAUUUUUUUUUCUUUUUUUUUUGGACGAAGUCUCGCUCUUGUCAUCCAGGCUGGAGUGCAGGGGCAUGAUCAUGGCUCACUGCAACCUCCCCCUCCCGGGUUCAAGCGAUUCUCCUACCUCAGCCUCCUGAGUAGCUGGGAUUACAGGUGCCCACCACCACGCCCGGCUAAUUUUUGUACUUUUAGUAGAGAAGGGGUUUCACCAUGUUGGCCAGGCUGGUCACGAACUCCUGACCUCAGGUGAUCCACCCGCCUUAGCCUCCCAAAGUGCUGGGAUUACAGGUGUGAGCCACUGUGGAGGCCUGCACUUGCAAUUUCUGUCAAACCUUAUAAAAAACAAAAAGAAAAAAAUCAACCAAUUCCACCAAAUGUUGUCAGAGCAUAGUGGAAGAGGAAAUAUUUAUCAGCUCAUUUAUGGGGCGAAAAUAACCCUAUUACCAAAACCUGACAAAGACAUUAGAAAUGAAGACCACCAUCUGUAUGAACAUAGACAUAAAAUCUAACACUUUAAUCUAGUAAAUCACUCCAGUACCGUGUAAAAAGAAUAAUAAGUUGACCAAAUGGGCCAGGCUCACGCCUGUAAUCCCAACACUUUGGGAGGCCAAGGCGGGUGGAUCAUUUGAGGUCAGGAGCUCGAGACCAGCCUGGCCAACAUGUCGAAGCCCCGUCUCUACUAAAAAUACAAAAAACUAGUCGGGCGUACUAGCAGGCGCCUGUAGUCCCAGCUACUAGGGAGGCAGACGCAGGAGAAUGGCGUGAACCCGGGAGGUGGAGCUUGCACUCCAGUCUCGGCG
rnacentral:lncRNA from 10 species